AUUGAACGCUGGCGGCAGGCCUAACACAUGCAAGUCGAACGAGUGGCGGACGGGUGAGUAAUGUCUGGGAAACUGCCCGAUGGAGGGGGAUAACUACUGGAAACGGUAGCUAAUACCGCAUACCAUCGGAUGUGCCCAGAUGGGAUUAGAUAGUAGGUGGGGUAAUGGCUCACCUAGGCGACGAUCCCUAGCUGGUCUGAGAGGAUGACAAGCCACACUGGAACUGAGACACGGUCCAGACACCUCCGGGAGGCAGCAUGGGGGAAGAUUGCACAAUGGGCGCAAGCCUGAUGCACCCAUGCGGCGUGGAUGAAGAAGGCCUGCGGGUUGUAAAGUACUUUCAGCGGGGAGGCGUUACCCGCAGAAGAAGCACCGGCUAACUCCGUGCCAGCCGCCGCGGUAAUUC
rnacentral:rRNA from 1 species